rnacentral:ncRNA from 1 species
ACAAGGGGAAUUUGAUUAUUAAAUUAAAACAAAGCAUUGCGAUGGUCCCUGCGGAUGUUGACGCAAUGUGAUUUAUGCCUAGUUCUCUUCAUGUCAAAGUGAAGAAAUUCAACCAAGCGCGGGUAGACAACGAGAGUAACUAUGAAUCUGUUAAGUUAUCCAGAUUCCUCAUCAUCUAACUAGUGACACACAUGAAUGGAUUAACAAUAUUCUCACUCUCCCUAGCUACUAUCUAGAGAAACCGCAACCAAGGGAGCGGGCUUGG